GUUACAUUUUUACUUCAUAAAGGAUGAUGAAUUUAUUUAAUCUGGAGGAUUAAAGAAGUGCUACAACUUCCAAGGAUUCAAAGACGCGGUGGAAAAAGUGACCUCAUUGGCAAAGACUUUAAGACUUCACAAACCGCCUUCACGAGGCAGAAGAAUAUGACAUGGGAACUGCUGGC
rnacentral:lncRNA from 1 species